UGGCUACGUGCAACAAAAGAAAGAGUUUUACUUAUUCUUUAUCGGCUAAAUGACCUGUUUCAUCCUUUAUUUUAUAAAGAAAAGUAGUAUGAAUUCCUCAUUUUGGGGCUUUAAGCAACCAGAAAUUGCCAUAAAAUAGUAUUUAAGGCCCAGAUCUGAACCAAUUCACAAGACAGCAUAAACCGAGAUUUGAAAAACACAACAAGUGGUCGACGGAGAAACGAGGAAGAAACACAACAAAUGGUCGAGGAACUCGAGUUCGUGAUCCAAGACGAGGGCCAUUUUGCGUUCCUCCUCGAAAGAGGGCUGUGCGAUGGGACUCUUCGCGGAGGAUCUGAGUCGGAGGUACUUCCAUCAAUUGAUUUUGUCGUCGAGUACUGCCACUCGCGCGACGUCUUCCAGCGCGACCUCAAGCCGGAGAUCUCCUCCUCGACGAGAACGGCGAUUUGAGUGCGGUUAGGCAUCAGAAUUCAAAACAGACCCGAUGGGAUUCUCUACACGCUUUGCGAAACUCCAUGGAGGCGGCGUGGUUUGUCCUCCACUGAGACGAGGAGAGAGAGGAUGAGCAUAAACAAGUUUCAGACAAAUUUUGAUUUCUGUUGUGAUUCUAAUUAGGCAUGACAUUACCAUCAAUUAUACAAAAAUGAACCGAAACCCAACGAAAAGAGCCCUAGCUCUAAAGAGCAAUUCAUGCCUUCUCAAGGAGCACAUUUACUCUAGUCGAAGAACAAGAAAGAUAUCAGAUAGAAACUCCUUCGAGAUUCCUUUGGUUAAGCUACCAAUAACAUUAUUGAAUGGCAUUUGUAUAAAAUAUUGAAAACUACAAAUUUGAUUAAUUGUAAAAUAGUACCAAGAAUGUUUAUAUAAAAUAAUUCAACUUGCUUAUAAAUGGUGUGGAAGCCGAAGAAAGAAAAAAUGAUGUGGAAGAGCUUCCGCCACAAAUAUAAUUAACUCAUAAUAAAUUAAUGGCACUUCAGCAUUUAAUGGUGACAAUUAACAGAAAGGACUUAAAAAAGGUGACGGUUUUGAUCAAUUUUUUUUUAAAAAAAAAACUAAAAGUAAAAGAUCGAAAAAG
rnacentral:lncRNA from 1 species